rnacentral:misc_RNA from 1 species
CAACCCUCAAGCUCUGCUUGGUCUUGGGCGUCACCGGUCCCCGGUGUGCCUUAAAAUCAGUGGCGGCGCCGUCUGGCUCUAAGCGUAGUACAUACUCUCGCUACAGACGCCCGGCGGAUGCUGGCCAGCAACCCCUAAUCUACUAA